UUGUUACUACGGUAACAAAUAUACUAAAAAUUGGAACGAUACAGAGAAGAAUAGCAUGGCCCCUGCGCAAGGACGACACGCACAUUCGGGAAGCCACCCUUAAAUGG
rnacentral:snRNA from 1 species